AUUGAACGCUGGCGGCAUGCUUUACACAUGCAAGUCGAACGGCAGCGCGGGCUUCGGCCUGGCGGCGAGUGGCGAACGGGUGAGUAAUACAUCGGAACGUGCCCAGUAGUGGGGGAUAGCUCGGCGAAAGCCGGAUUAAUACCGCAUACGACCUGAGGGUGAAAGCGGGGGAUCUUCGGACCUCGCGCUAUUGGAGCGGCCGAUGGCAGAUUAGCUAGUUGGUGGGGUAAAGGCCUACCAAGGCGACGAUCUGUAGCUGGUCUGAGAGGACGACCAGCCACACUGGGACUGAGACACGGCCCAGACUCCUACGGGAGGCAGCAGUGGGGAAUUUUGGACAAUGGGCGAUAGCCUGAUCCAGCAAUGCCGCGUGUGUGAUGAAGGCCUUCGGGUUGUAAAGCACUUUUGGCGGGAACGAAAAGGACUGUGCCAAUACCACGGUUCGAUGACGGUACCCGCAGAAUAAGCACCGGCUAACUACGU
rnacentral:rRNA from 1 species